UACGGAGGAUGCAAGCGUUAUCCGGAAUGAUUGGGCGUAAAGAGUGCGUAGGUGGUUAUUCAAGUCGGGUGUUAAAGAGCGGGGCUUAACCCCGUAGAAGCAGUGGAAACUGAAUAACUAGAGGGAGGUAGGGGUAGAGGGAAUUCCCGGUGUAGCGGUGAAAUGCGUAGAGAUCGGGAAGAACACCAGUGGCGAAAGCGCUCUACUGGGCCUCAUCUGACACUGAGGGACGAAAGCUAGGGGAGCGAAAGGG
rnacentral:rRNA from 1 species